CCAGCCUAUAGCUCUAGGCUCUGCUCUUUCUCCUCUUAUUGCUUCACUUCUAAAGACGUUAGAUUAGCAGUUGAAACAGGCUAAGAUUCUUCCUAAGUUCAAAGGUUUCAGGGAGCUUGUUGGUCACUCUCAAGACGGAACACAUUGGCUUCAGAUGUGGCCUCAUCACAGGAGCUGUGCAAGGGGCAGAGUUGUCUGGAUGUGGUGCUGAUCCAGUGCAGCCAGCUGUGAGGAGUGCAAUUCCUGGGCCCAGGAAGGGAGCGUACUCUUGCAAGGUAAGCUGCAGCAUGGCUUCCUACUCUAUACAUCUAGGGACGAUAAGGACAGGGACAGGUGGGAAAUGCAUGUCUCUCCUCGGUCUAAGGGCUCUUUUCUGACAUGAAAUCACAGUUGUUUAAAUAGCGAUCUCAGCUGACUUGUGCAGAGGCGAAACAGAAACCAGUUGGAAAAGAAGUAGAGACAUCGAGGCUGUAUGAAUGGUGGCAGGAGGUAGAUUUGGGAGAGAAAGUCGUUAAUUUCACUAAAUGGAACUACACUAGGGUUAAAAGUCUUAAGGGCUAUAGACCGAGCCAAGCUGUGUUUCUCCAUCUUCCAUUCAAAAAUUUUCCUGUCGGGUUGGUUACAAAAGCUAUUUGCCAGCUUCUGAUGACAGCGAGUCCUACUUGGAAGGGACUAGGGGAAGAGAAUCCUUAGCAGACACUGUCUUGGGUGCUGGAGUCUAUGCUAGGUGUGUGGCAUGUGUUACCUCGUCCACGCACCACCUUCUAUGAGGCAGGUGGGAUUGCUCCCAUUCCACAGCUGAAGGAAGUGUCUCUGGGCUGUUAAACAGCCCAGCCCCAGGCGACCUACCCAGGAGGAGGUGCGGCUAGGAUUACAGUCCUGAUCGGUCUGUCACUCCAGGCUGCUGCUGCAGAAUGCAGAAUUCUGCUGGGUUACCGAAACCUUCCAUUAUUUCCUGGAAUCUUGAGUGUGCCUCGUGUGCACAGAGGAUUGAGUAGGAAUGCAACUCCAUAGCCUGUUUGAAAGACCUAGGCAAUUCUGAACUUGAGUGUCCAAUCCUGGAGGAAAAUAGUAAAAUGGGAGUAAAGCUCAUCUGGCCCUGAGCUCUUCGUCCAGCUGGUAAAAGAAGCCAGCACUCGGAGUGUUUAAGGUAACUGAGACUGGACCCCUGUUUGGCCAUCCUAUGCUCUCUGCUGGAGGGAGCUGCUUCUAGAAGAAAGAGCUCCCGUCACUAAGCAAAGCCAAGGGCCCCUCCAGCUGCGAGAUGAGCCAGGGCAGCCCACCUCCUCUUCUCUGACAGGGUCUUUCUUCCAUAUCUAAAGGGGACUCCUGAGUGAGGCCAAGGGAUCAGCUCCCAUUGUCUGAGAUUGCAAUGUA
rnacentral:lncRNA from 12 species